UACGUAGGGGCUAGCGUUAUCCGGAAUUACUGGGCGUAAAGGGUGCGUAGGUGGUUUCUUAAGUCAGAGGUGAAAGGCUACGGCUCAACCGUAGUAAGCCUUUGAAACUGGGAAACUUGAGUGCAGGAGAGGAGAGUGGAAUUCCUAGUGUAGCGGUGAAAUGCGUAGAUAUUAGGAGGAACACCAGUUGCGAAGGCGGCUCUCUGGACUGUAACUGACACUGAGGCACGAAAGCGUGGGGAGCAAACAGGAUUAGAUACCCCUGUAGUCCCUGAGCGGG
rnacentral:rRNA from 1 species